UGUGCCAGCAGCCGCGGUGAUACAGAGGGUGCAAGCGUUAAUCGGAAUUACUGGGCGUAAAGCGAGCGUAGGUGGCUUGAUAAGUCAGAUGUGAAAUCCCCGGGCUUAACCUGGGAACUGCAUCUGAUACUGUUAGGCUAGAAUAGGUGAGAGGAAGGUAGAAUUCCAGGUGUAGCGGUGAAAUGCGUAGAGAUCUGGAGGAAUACCGAUGGCGAAGGCAGCCUUCUGGCAUCAUAUUGACACUGAGGUUCGAAAGCGUGGGUAGCAAACAGGAUUAGAUACCCUGGUAGUCCACGCCGUAAACGAUGUCUACUAGUCGUUGGGUCCCCUGAGGACUUAGUGACGCAGCUAACGCAAUAAGUAGACCGCCUGGGGAGUACGGCCGCAAGGUUAAAACUCAAAUGAAUUGACGGGGGCCCGCACAAGCGGUGGAGCAUGUGGUUUAAUUCGAUGCAACGCGAAGAACCUUACCUGGUCUUGACAUAUCUAGAAUCCUGCAGAGAUGCGGGAGUGCCUUCGGGAAUUAGAAUACAGGUGCUGCAUGGCUGUCGUCAGCUCGUGUCGUGAGAUGUUGGGUUAAGUCCCGCAACGAGCGCAACCCUUGUCCUUAGUUACCAGCGGGUUAAGCCGGGAACUCUAAGGAUACUGCCAGUGACAAACUGGAGGAAGGCGGGGACGACGUCAAGUCAUCAUGGCCCUUACGACCAAGGCUACACACGUGCUACAAUGGUAGGUACAGAGGGCAGCUACACAGCGAUGUGAUGCGAAUCUCAAAAAGCCUAUCGUAGUCCAGAUUGGAGUCUGCAACUCGACUCCAUGAAGUAGGAAUCGCUAGUAAUCGCGGAUCAGAAUGCCGCGGUGAAUACGUUCCCGGGCCUUGUACACACCGCCCGUCACACCAUGGGAGUUGAUUGCACCAGAAGUGGAUAGCCUAACCUUCGGGAAGGCGUUCACCACGGUGUGGUUGAUGACUGGGGUGAAGUCGUAACAAGGUAACCGA
rnacentral:rRNA from 1 species